AUGUUCACUGUUAUAUUCAUGUGUCUUUGGCUUUCACUAGGUGACUCCAUGGGAGAUUCCAUAAAGCCGCUUUUCACUCAUGAAGUUGUAGAUGAAGGUGAUAAUGUUACUCUGUCCUGCAAAUAUGAAACAGUUGUUGCAGCAAACACCAACCUGCAAUGGUACAGACAAUAUCCAAAAUCUAAGUCUGAGUUCCUUCUUUACAUCACUCCAAAUGGAGAUAAAAGUGAAUCCAUUCCACCACGUCUGUCUGCUGAAAUUGAUAAAAAUAAAAACCAAGUGGAUCUGAUCAUCUCCUCUGCUGCUGUAUCAGACUCUGCACUAUACUACUGUGCUCUGAGGCCCACAGUGACAGGAAAUCCAGCUGUACUGUACAAAAACCUUCACACAGUUUUGUUAUAUUGA